rnacentral:lncRNA from 1 species
AUUGAUCUUUAUUGAUGCUACUUCCAAAUCUACAAUAAAAAUUUGUAAACAGUUGUUUCAAAGUAAAAAAGGCUCAACUAUGCUCAAUUGAUAUAAUACAAUUCAAAAUGUAUUUUUUUAUUUUUUAUUUUAAAUAUGACAUUAAAAAAAAAGUCCUAAAUUACAAAGCUUAGUAGCCUUAGCACCAAUAUUGUUAUUAGGUCCGUGCUGGGUGGAAUUAAGGGGUUCAUUGAUUACAAACAAUUUGGUUAUGAAAUUUAAGGCAAAAUAACAGAUUUAAAACACUGCUAGUUUGGUCUUUAUUUUGCACCUUUGUUUCAAUAACCCCAUUUCAUGAUACAUUCAAGUAAAUUUUCCCAAUAUGAAGCGAGAAGACACAGCAAUGUAUCCUGAAUGUUUUUUUACAGGAAAGCAUUCCAUUGAAUUUCAAAAUCAAGAUUUACAAAACAUUAAGAAUCAGAAUGAAUAUAUAGUAGAUGUGGCAGAAACAUAACAAAAAGUGAAGCACUAGCACAGCUACCUACAGGAUAAAAACGUAAACCAGAAAGAAAUCACUUGUCAUAGACUGUAAUUUAAAGCAGAGGUGUGGUGCAUAACAAUUGUAAUAAUACUGCCUGGAAAAAGCUAUAAAUGUCGCUUUUAAAUUAUCACUUCAUCAUAUUCUUGCGUUCUUUAGUAGCACAAAAUAUUGUUUAAUUUAUUUCUGGCUGGUUAAAUACAGUGACACUUUACAUAGGUGAUGUCCAACAUUUAAUAAGCCUGGCUACUAUUCAGAAGCUUUGGUGAUGAGGCCCCUAACUAGUACUUUAGAAUAUAAAUUAUACACGCAAUAAGCCUGGGCUGCACAAUUGUUUUUACCUUUUAAAUUUGUAUCUGUUUAUACAUAUCUUUAUUUCUACAGUGCAAAAAGAAAACGGAUAUCGCAAAUAAAAAUUACAAAAUUAAAUGCAGUAAUUUAUAGACAAACAUUUGGAGAGCAAAUAAGGGGGGCGGGGACUGACUUGCAUGGUGGAGAGAAGUGUUUUGAUAGAGCUCUCCUCUACCGACAAAAAGCUGAUUUUAGCCUUAAUAAGCUUGAUUUGGCUGGCAUCCUGCAACUUACCUGCUCCUUGCCCAGGAGUCAAAAACUCGACAAGAUCUCAUCUAUAACACAACUUGGAUCAUGCGGCCUAGAGCGCGCUGGGUGGGAGAGGCGACCAAUAUCCCGGCCUGGAGUUUUCGGAUGGCAUUCAGCACUAUACAGGUGCCCCGUAACCCCCUCCCCUCUUUGACUGGCAGGGUGAUUCCGGUCCACCUCUCGGAGGCUGCCUUGUUAAUAAAGGAACACAAGGCAAAACCACUUCGGCUGAAGCUACAUUUUCUGACUUGCUUAAGAUGGCGUGGUUCCCUGACAACAUAAGGGACAGGCAAGAUAUCAUGUCCAGACUGGACAGAACAUUCGCAAAAUUCUGGUGCAAACUGGAGCUGAGGUGGCAGUAACCUCUACCCAGACAACCGAGUGCCUACUCACCACAAGAACAGAAUCCUUGCUUGAAACGGGAGAGCAUAGCUCCAACAGCGCAAACGGCCUCAACAUGGCAGCGAAGUGGAAAACACACACAUGCUCCAGCACAGAGCUGCACACAAGCGGGCACCAACACUGCCCAUCGCUGGGACUCUCGCAUGAUCUGAGGUACUUGGCAGCACCCCUAUCCUGACAUAUUGUGCAGAGAUCCAGCACACAUCGAGGCUUGGAAGCCUGUCUCUCCACUCACCGGAGUGGGACUCUAAGCCAAGCCCCUGGUCGGCAUAGGCUAACUGCGGAGAUUCAGCCUGCACACGGAAGAGCUUGUGGCCCUUCAUACUACCCCUUUACCAUUGAGUAUUGGAUGGAAUAUCUAUGACAUUAUUUGUUACAUGUGCAUUCAUCUACUAUUAUUUUAGGUCAAUCUCUGGUUUCUCCUCUGCCUGUGCAAUAAUCACCUCCCUAUUUCUUACUCUGUGCAAAAAGCUUGGUGCCUCCCAGGGAACCCUCCAUGUUGUUCUUUACUGUUAAGCCUUUAUAUUCCUUAAAAAAUUUUUUUUUUUAAAGUGCAGCAAAAACACACAUCGAUAUAUUAUUGUUUUAACUCAUGCAAUCUGUCAUAUGUCUUUGCUUCAACAUGUAUCGGACAAUGCACUUCAAAAAUAAAGAAUGUAAAAAAACAAACAUUUGGGCAUUUGAGCAAAUAAAUGUACUUACAUGAAGAAAAAAAAAAUGUUAGAUGUUGGAUUAUGCUAUGAUUGGAAGCACUAAAAAAAAGUGCCAUCACUUAAGGGAGCAAAUUGGACACAAGAAAUACAAAUCUGUUGGUUUAAAUCAAUGGUUCCCAACCCAGACCUCAAGAACUCCCUAUCAGUCCAGGAUUUAAGGAUUAACCAGUUGUGUGUAAGGUGUUUUUAGAAGAAAAAAAACGGGGAAAAAAACCCCAAAAAAAAACACUUGAGACACAACAGGGUAAUCCCUAAAUCCUGGACUGGUGGGGGGUACUUGAGGACUGGGCUGGUCUAAACAACUGGUUUAGAUGUAAGAUUUUUGUUUGUUUUUUACAUUUUGUUAUACCAUUUAAGCAAUUGUUUUGAGUAAUGAAAUGUCUUUGGCUGUCUCCAUUCCAUUUUUUAUUCUGUUGUUCAAAUAAUUCACUACCGAGGAUUUUUUUUUUUUUUUUCGGGCACUGGCCUCCUCCCUCCUCAUAUCCUUAGUUCUGACUGGCGUGGAAUGUAAAUGACUGAAAGGAGCAAGACAAAAAGCAUUCAAAAGGUUGGGAGCAUGGUGUUUUCAUGAAAAUAUUAUUUUAGCUUCAGACAUGUUGCAGCUACUGUGUGCACACUUAAACCAAUGUAGGCUUGGAAACAUUGGGUUUUGUACUGCUUUGCUGGAUAUUACGUGAAUAAAUAUUGGCACUAUUGCACUCACACACGUAGGGGUUUCACAAUAAUUUUUUGGUCUCUUACUUUAAGCAGAUACAUUUCCAGUCUGCAUUGGCAGAAACUACAACUUCAUUUUCUAACGUGUGCAAAAUCUGCUAAUCAGGUGUUUAAUUGGUUCCCAAAACUCACAUUAAAGUUAUAAAUGUUCUUGUUGUGUUACAUUCCUCAAACACACUGAAUAAUGGCAAAGUGAAAAAUGGUUGACCAAAAAGACAUAUCUUCAGCGAUGCAAAAAUCUAGGUUCUCACAUUUAAAGGGAAACUCCAGUGCCAGGAAAACAGUUUUCCUGGCACUGCAGGUCCCCUCUCCCUCCCACCCCCCAAUCCCCAGUUGCUAAAGGGGUGAAAAGCCCUUCAGUAACUUACCAGAGGCAGUGACGAUGUCCCACGUCGCUGCUUUUUCCUCCACCGCUCCUCCCAGUGAUUGCGUCGGCAGGUGAGCGAAACUGAUCCCGCCCACCAGCCGGGGAGACCUAAGGCACAUGCGUGAGGACGUCCAGCGACCCUCUAGCACAGGUUUCCUGUGCUAGGGACACGAAAGUGCCCUCUAGUGGCUGUCUAGUAGACAGCCACUAGAGGUGGAGUUAAUCCUGCAAGGUAAUUAUUGCAUUUUAUAAAAAAACUGCAAUAAUUACACUUGCAGGGUUAAGAGUAGUGGGAGUUGGCACCCAGACCACUCUAAUGGGCAGACGUGGUCUGGGUGCCUGGAGUGUCCCUUUAAAGUUAGCCUUACUAUAUGUGGUUAUCUUGUUCAGUCACAGCAACUACAGCAAAUGUGUUGUAGUUACUAUGCUAUUUUUCUAUAAAGUACAUCUCAUGCUAUCUUUAGGUUUAUAGGAGAUACAGGAUGACAUAGGUCACUCUAUUCUGACACCUAUGUACUGACAACGAACCCAGCAUGUUGGUGGAUUGUCCCUUUUGUGACAGUAUUACCAGAGGCAGGGAGGAGCUUGGACUGGAUAUUAAUUUAGUGCAUCACCGAUAAAGUAGAAGGUAAGCCAAAUAAGUAAAUAACAAUUGAUUAUACCAUUUAUACAUAUGAUAAAUUAUUCAUUCAUCACCUUUGAACAGGAUCUGUCAUGACCGGUUUAUUUAACCAAAUUAUUAAAAAUCAAUUAGAGAAUAGCAAUUGUGCUCUGGAAAAUGAGAGGCAGCUUGAAAAAUGGUGGUAGGAAAGUAAAAUUCUACUAUUCUCCUGAGUUUACGAUGAGUUACAUUGCAUCAACCCAUAAAAGACAUUAAAAUAAAUGAAACCAUUAGUACAGUUUUGUUAUAACUGGAGGAUGCCUAUAUCAAAAACAAUAGCAGCAUUGCAUGCAGUGGUGUAUUUAGGAUUUGCGCUGCCCUAGGCAAGACAGCACUCGGGAACAACCCCCCUUAAUUUAAAUUUUCCCCACCCCUUCCAGUCAAGGCCGCACUUUGACUGACAGACGCACACACUCACAAAUAGAUGCAUACACUCAUUGACAGACACACACUCUCAUAUACACUGACAAACACACACCCUCACUGAUUUGACACACUGAUAGACAGACACACUAUUACUCAGCCACAACACUGACAGACGCACAAACUCACUGACCGACACACACACACACACACAUUUCCUCCAACACUCACAAAUUAUUUUAAAUCCACCCAGCCUCCCUGGGAGAGCUGGAGUGGAUUACUUACCUGUCCAGUAGUGCUGCUGGGCGUACAGGCAGAGUAGGCGGCGAGGGAGCUCUGAUUUUCCUGCUCAGCUCCCUCACGCGCCACUUAGUGAUGCCGGGAGCCAGUCUGACGUCAUAUUCCGGCUCCUGUCUUCAUUAAGCGGCACGAAGGGAGCUGAGCAGGAAGAGCUCAGGUGAGUACACUCCCAGCCUCGGGGGGUUCAAAGUGGCCAGCACUUGAGCCCCCCAGGACACAAGGCAAGCAAGGGAUCUGCCUGGGCGUUUGGGGGCAGCAUUUUUUGCCUCGUGUAAGAUACGUCCCUAAUGUAUGGCUACAUGGACUACUAAAGCAUGGCCUUGUUUAUAAAAUACUCUUUUGAACAGAAGUCACUGUGCAAGUCUUCCUAGAUCUCAAAUUUAAACAGUACAGUUAUUUCAUGUGUUAAAUGCAUAAACUGCAAUCAUGAUUUGAGAAUACAUUAGCCCAGUGGUUCCCAACCUUUAUUUACUUGGGUACCCCUUGGCAAUCCAUCUCCAUAAAUUGUACCCCUUAUAUUAGCAAAAUGUUUGUAAUAAACAUAGUUGCUGUUAUUUCCCUGCUCUUCACUCUGCCCCAGGCUCUAACUGCUCUACCAUCUGCCCAAGAUUUUCCCUGCUAUUCCCUCUGUUCAAGGCUCUCCCCUUUGCCCCAGCUUUCCCUGCUUCUCCUCUGCCACAGGCUUUCCCUUCUCUCCCCUCUGCCCCAAGCUCUCCAUUCUUUUUCCUCUGCCCCAUGCUCUCCCUGCUGUACCCUCUGCCCCAGGUUAUCCCUGCUCUUCCCUCUGCCCAUGACUCUCCCUGUUUUUCCCUCAGCCACACAAACAGAUACAAACACUGACCCUAAUAACGAUGCAGACACACAGAUACAAACACUGACACACAAACAGUUGCACAGACACACUGAAUGACACAAAUACAGAUACAUAUAAAAUCACUGACACACAUGCAGAUACUCAUUAUCUAUGUAUCUGCAUGUGUGUCCGUGUAUCUGCAUGUGUGUCAGGGUGUGUAUCUGUGUGUUCAGUGUAUGUAUCUUUAAGUUUGUCAGUGAAUGUAUCUAUGUGUCUGUGCAUCUGCAUGUGUGUCAGUGUGUCUGUGUUUCAGGGUAUGUAUCUGUGUGUCAGACACACAGAUACAUACCCUGACACACAUACACAUCCUGACACACAUACAGACACAUACCCUGACACACAGACCAACAUAUACACACUGACACCCAUGCAGAUACACAGACAUAGAUACACACUGACACUUAAAGAUACACACCCUGCCACACAGAUACACACCUUGACACAUGCAGAUACACAAACAUGAAGAUGCGCAGAGAUACAUACAGAUACACAUACAUACCCUGACACACAUGCAGAUACACAGCGAUACAUACACCGAAACACAUGCAGAUACACAGACACAUAUUUACAUAUUCUGUGUCUGCAUGUGUGUCAGGGUGUGCAUCUGUAUGUCAGAGUAUGUAAAUAUGUGUCUGUGUAUCUGCAUGUUUGUCAGUAUAGGUAUUAGUGUGUCAAUAUGUGUGUCUCUGUGUAUACAAAUGUGUGUGUGUAUAUGCAUGUGUGUAGUAUCUACAUGUGUGUCAGGGUGUGCAUCUGUGUGUCAGAUACAUACACUGAAACACUUAAGGAUACAUACCCUACGUUUCUUUGUGUCUGCAUGUGUGUAUCUGUAUGUCAAAGAAGCGUAGGGUAUGUAUCUAUGUGUUUUUGUAUCUGCAUGUGUGUCAGGGUGUGUAACGGUGUUGCAGGGUAUG